GAUUGGCAGCCUCGCCCCCAGGCCUCAGGCCCUCCCUGGCUUGAAGGUGAGGCUUCACCAGAGACCAGCCUCCUUCUGCCCAGGAGCCUGUCUGCCUUCUGCCACUAUUCAUGGCACCCAGGCUGUUCAUGCCAAGUGGGGCCUGCAGGCCAGUGCUGAGCUGUCCUCAGCACCCUCUUAGCCUCCGUCUCUUGCUUGUCAGCACCCAAAGUCCAGAGGUGACUCUGGCGGCGGGGAUGGGUGAGUCAGCGCUGCCCCCCUAAGCAUGUGCACAACCUGGUGGUCUGUGACAGCGCCCAGCAUUGGCCGCGACUUUUCUCCAAGAUCCAAGAAGGUAGAGACAGCGGGGAGAAGCCAGGCAGCGGAAGCAGGCGUUUCCAACCCGGAAGCUCCAAGAAUGUGUCAUAAUUUGUUUAAGCCAAUCAACAGAUCAUAUUUCCUGGUCAUUGAGAAACAGUGAGAUCUUGGUUGGAGAUGUCAGGAGACACACCCACAUUCCACAGAUUUAUUCCUGACCCUCAGCUCCAACAGCAUUAAAAAAAGAAAAAAAUAACAUACAUUUUCUAUUGUGCUUUGAUAAUUAUUUCAUUCUGCUCUGCUAUCUGGAGUAAAUAUUAGGCCACAGGGUAUGGUCCUUAAGGGGUAACUUCUUCCAAUUUCAUGUAUGAAUAAAUAAUGUUGUAUGGAGAAUUCUAGCUUUAGUAACAUUAGUUUUUACACAGACUAUAUUUCAAUAGAAAGAUAUGAACAAUAUAGCAGCCACCUAUUGGUUUAAUGAAUUCAUAAAAAUGGUAAUAUCCAUUUUCUUAUUCUAGCAAUGUGUAAAUUACAGUAUUUGAGAGAGCAUAUUCAUAGUUUAUUUACAAGUAUUCUCAUUUAUCAGAAAACUAAAAUUUAUUUGAACUUGUAAAACAAAAUGACCUAUAUAUACCAAUAUCAUUAGUCUAAAAAAAAAAUAAUUAUUUACCUCUCAGAGCCCAUGAGCUAGGCAAAGAUGAGAUGGAGAUGAUCUGAUUAAGACGUUGUUCAAGAAAAGUAUUUGUGAAAUCGCCAUUGUAAUAAAACAAUAUAGUGCUUUAAACAGAAGGUUGUAAUAUAUAGUUUAGAGUUUCAUCACUCUACGUAUUUCAGAUGUGGGGAUAAAUAUAAACCUAAGACAUAGUUAAGGUAAACAUUGGGAAACAAUUUGUUUUCUUUCCUUGAAAUCAAAGUUACCAAUCUCUGAUUAAAACAUAGUCCAGUUUCAUGACUGAAGUAUUGGCUGGUGGGAACCAGAAUUCAGCUGAUCUGAUAUUUAGGAGGUGAUUAUUGAUCCUGACAUCAAUACGGCUUUUAGGGUCACCCAGAUUGCUCCAUCACUGACAGGGGGCAGUCAGAUUAUUCUCACUAUUCCUGGAUUUUUUGUGAUUUACAUAAAGAGACUCUAUAGGUGAUGCUACACAUUUUAAUUUUGUUACUUCUAACCAAGAAUAAUUUAACCAACAGUCAUACGCAAUGUUCCUCAUAAAAAUGAAUAGAAAGCUUAUCAAAUAACUGACUAUAAUAGGUUUAUUAAUUGAUAUGGUUUGGCUGUGUCCCCACCCAAAUCUCACCUUGAGUUGUAAUAAUCCCCAUGUGUCAAGGGCAGGAGCAGGUGGAGGUAACUGAAUCAUGGGGGAGGUGUUCCCCCAUGCUAUUCUCAUGAUAGUGAGUGAGUUCUCAUGAGAUUGGAUGGUUUUAUAAGCAUCUGGCAUUUCCCCUGCCGAAACUCAUUCUCUCUCCUGCUGCCCUGUAAAGAGGUGGCUUCCUCCAUGAUUGUAAGUUUCCUGAGGCCUCCCAAGCCAUGUGGAACUGUGAGUCAAUUAAAUCUCUUUUCUUUAUAAAUUGCCAAGUCUCAGGCAGUUCUCUAUAGCAGCAUGAGAAAAGACUAAUACAUUAAUCAAAUCAUAUUUGUCAUUUCUUCUAUUAUACCAUUAAAAUUAAAAUCCCAAUAAUACUAAAAAUAAAUCAAGGUACAUGAGGACAGCAAUGAAAAUUAUUUAUUUACCCGUAUAAUAGUUACUCGCAAUCACCUGAUACUUGAUAAUACAGUUUAAUUUAAAUACACAAUAAUAGGGUUGCCAUUUUAUUUCCAUAUGAGAAAGAAAAUGAUAUAUAGUGCUUUAUCUUUCUAGAAAUACAAGGUGUAACAAUGUUUAGUUCUUUAAGUUAUGAGGUGAAACCAUUCAAAAAUAA
rnacentral:lncRNA from 10 species